CAGGGAGAGAGAGGUAUGUAGCAGCAUUUGCCUUUUCAAAUUUGAAUUUGUGUGUUUAAAAUAAUUAGAAUUAGUGCCUGUUUUUGGUUAGCUUUAAAAAUACGGGGAAAGGAGCCAGUCAUUAUAAAACUUGUCAGUGUAAAACUUGACUGGGCUAUUGCUGAAGUAAGGGGGAGGUGCAUGUGUAUGCACAAAACCUGUUAUUCUUUCGCCUCUCUGAAGUUAUCCUGUAACCCCAGGGAUCUGUGAAGCUUAAAAUGGACUUGAGAUAACCAUCCUCAACUCCCAAACCAUUAAAAGAGGGAGGAAAGAAGGUUGCAGAGACAUCAAUGCUACUGUGCAUCUGGACUUUUCAAAAUACUUGCUCUGAGUCUGUGGUGGCUUUCUCAGCUCAGCCCAGGCUGUUUUGAUGUGGUGUGUUUCUGAAAGAGGCUUUAAAAUCAACACCAUGUCUGGAGUCAGGCCAGACAUGUUGGGGUUCUUUUAUCAUUACUUGUUUGGUGGAGCUGUGGCACUAUGGCAAAGCAAAUGUCAGAUCUGUCAGACUCCAUCUACGGUGUCAAGACUGUGGAUGUAGCCGUUCCCAAACAGAGCUUUUACAAAUCAUGUUUGGUACAGAGAAUGAUGGUUUAGUUUAGCUCACUAAGAAAGGUCUGGCAGGCUUUUGGACAGAAGAUGCCAUAGGAAUUCCCAGCUUUCAUCAGGGAAUACAAAUUAUAUCAUCUACAGCACUACUAAUAAUGAAUAGGGGAAAAAAAUAGUAGCUACACUCCUCACUACUUGCCGAGGAGUUCAUGCCUGUGUUUGCUGCACCUCUUUGGGAACUCCGUGUGAGACAGCCUCCACUCCACAGAGAGGAACGUCUUUCAAUUCAGAGUCUCUCUUGAAAACCAGGAUUUUCUAGUAUGCUAAAAAAUUACUAUUUCAUACUUCUUAUGAAUUGUUCACUGUUUGACAGUAGUUUAUUAGAAGUGGGGAAAAAAUAGGCAAAAACUUUCUCUUCAGAAUCCUUAGAAUGAAUGCUUGCCCUCCAGAGGGCAUUCCAGUCAUGGGCUAUUGAUAGCUUGGAAAACAAAGUUGCUGAGUUCAUGUAUGCAACAGAAAGCUGUGAAAUACAGACGUAUUAGAAGUGGCCAGUAGUGCAAGCUCUGGAGGAGCUAUCUGGGGGUUUGAUUAGCCCCUUUCCUACAUGUUUACUUUAAAUGUCCUCUGAAUCCAAUUUAUCCACUGCCAGGAAUUUUCACCCUAGAACCUCUGCAGCUUUAAUUACAGAUUCCUAGAAUGGUUUGGGUUGGAAGGAACUUUAUGUAGUUCCAACCCCCAGACCAGCUUGCUGUUAAGGGGCAGUAUGUAAUACUAGUUAUACAUCCCCAGCUCUCCAGUUAUCUUUGUGGCUUUCAUCCUCCCUGCAUUGCAAGGAGGAGGAAAUAGUUUGCAAAGACCUUUAUACUUAACAGAAAUAAAAUGAGACACUUCUGUAAAUGUGUGAACCUGAUCUCCUCAUCUUGCUUUAAGAUGAUAAUUAUAUUUGCUAAGGGAGUUAUGGGAUGAUGGAAACUCUAGCAGCAGAUAAAGUGUUUCUAUUUCUGGUACCCUAGGGAUAGGGUAUCGAUUCACCACGACAGACAGAGCAAAAGCCCUUGAAGUGCUAUUGUUGAAAUAACUUUGAGACCUGUCAUCUGCCAACAGAUCCUGUUCUCCCACCGGUGCUGAGGAGAUCCAGGUUGAUAGUGGGAGAUCCUGCCAAAUAUCCAUCACAGCUGCACUUUGGGUAAAAGCUCUCAGUGAAACAUCAGUCUGCAGAGAAAGCAAAACUCCUGGAAGCCAAACAUCACAGAGGAGUGUGGAGGGAAAGAGUAAGUAAGAGUAAGUGAAGUGGAUCUACAUGAAAUAUGGGAAGGAGGAGGCUGAGGUAUGUGCAGAGCAUUGGUGGGAAGGUUUUGAUGACACCAGGGUCUUUCAGCUUUUCGGUGUGGAAAAAAUCAAUGUCGGGAUGUGAAAAUAAUCAUCUCCUGAAAGUGAAGAAGUAGUUGUCCUUCUAUCUAAUGAGUGCUGUUUGUUUAGUUCUGCUGGACUUUUUAAGCUGAAGCAAACCUGUUAUGUGCCACAUUGUGAGUCAGAAGGAAGAGUUUCCUGGAGAUGGGCCUAGAUACCUUGAUUUUGCGGCAACUCUGUGUCCCUGACAAAAUCUUUCCAAUGUUUGGACAAAGAAAAGCCAAAAGCCCAAGAGGCAGAUUGCUCCAGAUCAUGUACUUGGAUGGAUUUGCACCAUAACCAACUUCAGGGAACUCUGCAUACAAAGUUUUUGCCCCAAAAUGUCAACUGUGGUUAGCACAGAGGUAACACUUCCUGGGAUUGGAAGAAAAGACUCAAAAUAUGCAGCUGCAGUUGCAUAUUACGAACUGGAGUGAGAACGUAGAGUCUUCUGUAAAUCAAUGGACUGGAUUUUCCCGGAGAGCUGGAACACAGCGACUCAAAAGAAAAGGCUGCCUGGGGAUCAGAGGGACUUCCCAGAGCCCAUCAGGCUGCUUGAGGAAAGAGAAAUUGUUACCAAUAUGGAGCCUUGUGACAUUACUUCAGGAGGGAGGAUUUAAUGGACACUUCCUCUCAGGGCCUGCAGAGUCUGGGGGAGGUUGUGGCGCCCAUGCCAGACGUAUCUGUUCCUGGCCAGGCGGCUCACCAUGUGCAGGCUCUCCAGCACGUUCACAAUGUCAUAGAUGCGCCUGCGCUCCACGUCUGCAGAGGG